UCCCCUAGCCCCCGCACACCACUCCUCCCUUCCAGAUCGCAGCCGCCACCUCCUCCUUUCCAGAUCGCCGCCUCCACCUCCCUCCGGCUGAGCUCCCCGCCAUCCAUGGCCUCCCCCAUGCCCUCCUCCACGCCCUCCUCCUCUCUCCCAUCCCCUUCCCUCACCGCGAGCCCUUCUCCCCCGCGAGCCCUCUCUCUCUCUCCCACGACUCCUCUGCUCCACCCGAUUCCGGUGAGUUGAGGCGGCUCUCGCCGGCGCGCAGCUCUUUCUUCCCCUCCCAUCAGAUUCGUCUCUCGCACCCUCUAGUGCAAGCCCGCAGCCUCACCCGUGGCUAGGGUUUCGCCCCCUAUCCAUUUUUCUAGAGGUCGGGCAUGACGCGCGCGGGCCAAGCACCGGCGACGAGGGUGCUGGAUCCAGGGGCAGGGCCCCUUCUCCUCACGCUGCAUCCGCCGGCCUCCUCCUACUCGUGGAGGAGGAGAAGGAGCAGGUGGGGCACACCUAGCCCCCAAGGUCGCCGCCGUCAAGGGCUUCUACGACCUGGAUCCCGACCUCCAUGGCGCCGUCCUCCAGCAACUCGAGGUCAAGGUCAAGUCCACUCACGCGAUGUGCCCGUCCAUGGAGAGGAGCAGCAGCAGCUCCAGGUGCACAUGAUUGUUAUUGAGGACAUGGUCUUGUUUUUGGCACGCCCAAGUAUUGGGUGAUGCUUGCCUGCAUGGUUACUGUAGCUCCAGUUCAGGUGGGCGCUCUAGCUCCUCCUCAUGCCCUACAUGCAGGAGCUCCGGGCUGAAGAAAUUUGAAGAAGCUUAGAGCUCGACAAAGUACAGAGUAGCUAGUUAUAAUGUGGAGCUAGUUAUGUUGUACAGUGGACAGCAUAUCUGGUUGUAUAAACACUAUGUAAAUACUGUAAUUUCGUAAGAUGUACAGUAGUCAGCAUAUUUGGUGCUAAUUUUGGC